rnacentral:rRNA from 1 species
AUUGAACGCUGGCGGCAGGCCUAACACAUGCAAGUCGAGCGAGCGGCGGACGGGUGAGAAAUGUAUGGGGACUGCCCGAUAGAGGGGGGUAACUACUGGAAACGGUGGCUAUUAUAGCACACUGUAGGAUAACCCCUAUGGGAUUAGCUAGUAGGUAAGGUAAUGGCUUACCUAGGCGACGAUCCCUAGCUGGUCUGAGAGGAUGAUCAGCCACACUGGGACUGAGACACGGCCCAGACUCCUACGGAGGCAGCAGUGGGGAAUAUUGCACAAUGGGCGCAAGCCUGAUGCAGCCAUGCCGCGUGUAUGAAGAAGGCCCUAGGGUUGUAAAGUACUUUCAGUCGGGAGGCGUUACCGACAGAAGAAGCACCGGCUAACUCCGUGCCAGCAGCCGCGGUAAUAC